UCACUUACCUGGAUGGGGUCAAUGGGUGAUCAAGAAGGCCCAUGGCCUAGGCAAGUGACCUCCAUUGCACUUUGGAGGGGUGCUAGCCUAAGGUCUACCCCAAGUGGUGGAGCCUACAUCAUAAUUUGUUGCCGUGGGGGUUUGCGUUCGCGCAGCCCCUUCCAAUUUAGUUAUGAAAAUAUAAACUUGCCAAGACCUGAUAACCGGAUCAUAAUCUGCUAAUUGAAGAUAAUGCAAAGUAAACAUCUCUGCAGUAUUUAUUAGAAUUAUUCUGUAUUGCAGGCUGUUAGAUAAGUGCAGGAGGAUUUGUUAGGGAACAUAUUCAUUAGAAACUACUUUUCCCAUCUCUACUUUGAGUUUCCUAUUUGAAAAGAGUUGUAAAUCAUAUAAAAAAUAUCAUUUAAUUUUUGCAGGCGGAUUAUCAUACACG
rnacentral:snRNA from 1 species